UCCUUGGUAGCUCAGCUGGUAAAGAGUCUGCCUGCAAUGCAGGAGACUCAGGUUCAGUUCCUGAAUCAGGAA
rnacentral:tRNA from 1 species